rnacentral:rRNA from 1 species
CCUACGUGAGGCAGCAGUGGGGAAUAUUGCGCAAUGGGCGAAAGCCUGACGCAGCGACGCCGCGUGAGGGAUGAAGGUCUUCUGAUCGUAAACCUCUGUCAGCAGGGAAGAACGGUCACUGUGCUAAUCAGCAGUGAAUUGACGGUACCUGCAACGGAAGCACCGGCUAACUCCGUGCCAGCAGCCGCGGUAAUCCGGAGGGUGCGAGCGUUAAUCGGAAUUACUGGGCGUAAAGCGCUCGUAGGCGGUAUGUCAAGUCAAGGGUGAAAUCCCCGCGCUCAACGUGGGAACUGCCUUUGAAACUGGCAAACUGGAGUGGGUGAGAGGAUAGUGGAAUUCCAGGUGUAGGAGUGAAAUACGUAGAUAUCUGGAGGAACAUCAGUGGCGAAGGCGACUAUCUGGCACAUAACUGACGCUGAGGAGCGAAAGCGUGGGUAGCAAACAGGAUUAGAUACCCCAGUAGUC